UCCAGUGCUGCUGGGAUCAAGGGUGUGCAUCGCCACACCCAGCCCAGACACAUCCUUCUGCAUUGUGCUUAUGGUGUCCAUAUUGCUUUGUGUUUAGCUUGCUUUUCCUCGGAGGCUUCUGACGUUUGGACAGGAAAUCUUCUGUUAGCAUGAAAAUCAACACAUCAGAGCUCCUCAUUUUCCUUCUAGUGACCCCUUCCCAGAGUGGGCUCCCACAAUUUCACGGGCCAGGUGAGAAUUGCACAAGCCGCCCAGCCAUGGAGUUACUUUCAAGCUUGGCUCUGACUAUGGCUGAUGUGUCGUGGUUUAUUAGUGCCAACAAUGUGUUCAACUCAGUAAGUAUGGUGGUGGGAUUUCAAUCUUCUUUUCUUGGUUUGCUGUGUGUUUUGAUGCUCUGCGUUUUUGCUUUUGAAGAAAGAGUCUUGCUGUGUAAUCCAGGCUGACCUCACAUUUGCAAUUCUCCUGUCUCUACCUCCCAGGGGCUGAAAUGACCGACAGGUGGGGUUUCAGCUUCUGUGAUUGGUUCAAGUGCAUCUCUCUGGUGGUAGAGACUUCACUAGUUUUAUCCUGUUCUCCUAGUUUCUAAAUAGUCACAUGUCCUGGACUCAGUCCCUAAGUACGUUCUUCGAUGUAGAAUUCUUCUCUGUGUACUCUCAUUCUCUGGAUCUAUUCUUUAUCAAGACAACAUCUUUUUAUACGGUGACCUCACUCAGCCUUCUGAAUGACACAUCUAGCUGCCCACCAAACUUGGAUACCUAAAAGCAAACAGGCCCAAUCAAACUCCAGGUUCCCUCUUCUCCUUGUUAGUGAAUGACAACCCAGUUCAUGCCUUUGUUCCAACCCAAGACUGGAGUUCACAAGGAUCAAAUUCCUCAAGAACAGCUUUGUCUCUCCAAGUCCCAGCUAUAAUCCAUACACUUUUCACCAGGCCUUCGGACAGUAUUCUCUCUCAAGCUACCGUUGUCUCCCACUGUACCAAAUAUCUCCCUGCUUUCAACUUUGACUUAAUCCUUAAAACACCAGUCAGAUCAUACCGCUAAACUCAAGUCCCAAGAAAAACUUCCCACCUUUUCAGAGCCAAAGGCUAAGCCCAUACCAUGGCCUGCCAGACUCAACAGUAUUUGACCUCUGUUACCUCUCUUAGUCAUCUAAUAUCUCCAACUGGCUUUUCUUGGCUGCCUGUGCUUUUCUUCAAAUGUACCAAAUACAUCUCCACUAACCUUGCUGUCUCCACUUUCCAGAACUGACUUCCUUGUCUCUAUGAUUUGCACCCUUGUUUUCUCCAAGUCUCUGCUUCAAAUGCCUAAAUGCUAAUUUUCCAGACCUCUGGCCUCUCUUCCUUCAAGCCCACCUUGUCUUUCUGACCUACUUUAGUUUUCUUCCUAGUACUUUCCACUGAUACAUUUCGUAUCUUCUAUUUUAUUUCCAAUGUGUUCUACCAAAAAGGUAAAGUUAGAAAUGCCAAGGCAUUGGUUUUGUUCACUACCUAAAACCUUGUCACACAGAAUAGGGCUAGACCCUCAGUGUAACUAUUUGUGGAGAGAAUGGGUGGCACAACGCUGUGUCCACUGGAACCCUGGCAACAGUAUCUCUUUCCUGCCAGACUCUACCAGGGGAUCUAAACUUCAGGUCUUUCCUCGUGGCCCACAUGCCAUAUAUUGACAUUUUCCCAUUAGUCAAUAAGGUACUGGCUCACUGGUUCCAUUGAGGACCCUUUCCUCUCUGCCAUCUUUAGUCAAUUGGCAAACCUUUAUACUUAGCCGUCUUAUGGUUCCAAGAAAAUCACCAUAGUUCCAGAGUUCAUUUAAAGUAAUAUAUUGCUUGACACACAGAAAGAUUUCUUACAUUAGUGUAUUUUUCUUUAACUGGGGAAGAAAACUCUUUCCUCUGGGAGAUUCUUAGCAAGUCUCCCUUCACCAUGACAAAGGCCAGUAUCUUAGAGCAAAGGAGGCUGGGAAAGCAAGGUGCUAGUGCCAGCUGCCUCCAUGCCUGGGGCUGGGAAGCGUGGUGGAGAGUACGGACAGUUGUUGACCAGGAGAGCAAGAGCAGCUCCCGAAGGGCAUGUACUUUCAAUUGCAGAAACAAGACCUUCUAUUUGUGUUCUCUUGCCAUCUUACAGACUUGAUUUUGCUUAAUGGAUAUUAGCCACUUAUUCUGUAUCCAUGGGGAUAAUAUUUGAACAUUUUCUUCUGCUUCUAUUGUGCUCUACAAAUAUGAAUCCAUUAGUGUCUUCAGAUUGUGCUCAGUACUAAUGAGUUCAUACUUAUAAAACACUUGAGGCAAAACUUUGAUAUAGUAGCCUAUGAAGCAAUAUGUACUAUAAAUUGAGCUGAACUUUAAACAAACUCAGUCAGUGCUAUCUCACUAGAAAAUAUCUGUUAUCUGUCUAUGCAUCUAUCAGGGAGUUGUAUAUGCUCAGCAAGAUUUCUGUGGUUAACAUCCUAGCUCUUGGUUUUACAAGUCGUGAUCUCAUUAUAUAGCCCAAGCUGCCUGGAACUUAACAAUUAUUCUGCCUCAGCCUCCUAAGUAUUGGGAUUAUAGGUACCACAAUGUGCGGUGUAAAAGGUAUCUUACUUUAAGAAACACUAGACUGUCAAAGAAAAAUCUCUGUUUUUUUAGAAAGAUGUUAUUUCAUCUUUAAGUGACUCCCCAGAACUGAGGCCAUUUUCAUGGGAUCACAAGAAGAUGAGCAAAAGUAAGGGAUUUCUUUCCUUUCUGGUUGUUGUUUUUAUUUUGUUUUGUUUGUGUGGUGUUCUCCUUGUCUGCCUUUUCAUAUUUUAGCACGAGAUACCAACCUGCUGGGAAAGGGUGGUCCUGUGGGGAGCAAAGAGUGAUGAUAUACUAGGAGGUUCCCAUGGGAGAGAUGUCUUUCUCAGCUCCGGAAUCCCAGUGUCAUACGUAGAGGACUUUUCUUCAGAUCCAUUCAGUUUCUGCACUGCACAUCCACCCACUGUCCAAUUCUAGUAUUAGUGUGGGCAGAGAAUGGUAAUGUCUGACUGAUUGGAUAGAGCACUGGCAGUCUUAGUCUUAUAACCUCAUGUAGAGAAUGUAACCAAAGCAGUUUUACUUCUGGUUUACUUCAUAACCACCUUUGGACAAGUUCUUGCUUUCUUCUUUUUUUUUCCUUUCUGAAAAAUUCAUCUUCAGUCUCCUGCAACAGUGGGUGACUGGGUGUGAGCAGAGGUGAGUGUGCACCAGUAGAAAUGGGAUCAGUGACCAAGACGUGCAAAUGGUCUGCACAAUGGCAUUGCCACGUCUGCUGUGCCUGCUGUCUUUAGAAUGCCAAGGCUCUCAAGGUCACAACUGCCCUUCUCUGGUGUCUUUCCCCCAGGUCCUGAGGUCUAACCUCCAACACUAUUAGGUCACUACCUCUGGCUUUGCUGUGUCUCUGUUGCUCAGUUUGUCAUCUGAGGUUUUAUGCACAUAUUCAUGCCAUUUUAAUGGAGAAUGCAGAGCAAAAAUGAGGGCACAACCAGUGUUUUCUUGUUUUUGUUUUCUUGGUAAGAUCACAUAAACUCAAAUCUGUCAGGGAACCAAGUGAGCUUGAAGGCCAGCCUUUCUGGUUCCCAAAAUGAGGGGAAGCCCAGAAAGAACAAAGGAGCUAAGGUCACUGGAAGCAGAAUAGAGAGGCUGUUAGGCUCUGAGUUCUUACAGGGGUGAGACAGCUUAAUUAUGCAUCUUGGUCUCUUUCCCAACUGGCUUUGUGACAUUGAGCAUUUUCUUUGUGACAUUGCCUCAUUUUCCUCCUUUGUAAAAUGGGGGUAAUAGUAGUCGCCUAAUUCAUCAGACUGUGGCCCAUACUUAGGAAUUAACAGUCCUAAAAACUCUUAACAGAGUACUUUUUUGUUCUUAUUUUUUAAUUAAUUUUUAUUUAAAUUAAAAACUAUCUUAUUUUACAUAGCAAUUCCAGUUCCCUCUCCCUCCCAUCCUCCCAUUCUCCCCCAUCUUUGAGAUAGAAAUAAAUGAUUUUAAUUAUUAUUUUGGAUACAUUUAACUAAAGGAGUGUACUAGAGGACCAUCUUUCAUUUUAUUAUUUAUAUGUAUUCAUGUUUUGUCCACAUCCACAUCUGCAUACCAACGGCAUGCCUGGUGCCCAGAGGCCAGAAAAGGGUGUCAGUCCCCUGAGACUGUAGUUAUAUAUGGUUGUAAGUUGCAAUGUGGUGCUGGGAAUUGAAGCCAGGUCCUCUGAAAGAAAAGCAAGUGUUCUUAACUGCUGAGUCAUUUUGUUAGCCCUAGAGGGAUAUCUUAAUUUAACUGAGAAAGUGCCUCUGUUAGAUUGUCAGGGAGAGGUCUGUGGUGCAUUUUCUUUAUUCAUGCUUGAUGUGGGGCCCUACUCACUGCGAUGCCCCUGGGAAGGUGGUCCUGUGUAGUAAAAGGCAGCAUUCCAGAACAAGCCAUGGGGAGCAAGCCGGUCAGCUUCUGUGUGGUUUCUGCUUCAGCUCUGGCCUCUGGGUUCCUGCCCUGACUGCCCUCAGUGAAGUAAAAAGCUGAUCAUAUCAGCGCGAAGAUGAAACGAAACCCUCUCCUCCUCAAGUUGCUUUCAGUCAUGGUGUUUAUCACAGGACUCAAAAGCUAACUAAGAAGGUGUUGGCCUAGCAGGUGUGAGGCCCUGGGUUCAACCCCAGAUCCACAGCAGAAUGAAACAAAACAACCGUUUGUGAAAUUGAUUUGUGGGUUGGGUUUGUCUGAGGUAGAGGCAGAAACUGUGGUGUGUGUGUGUGUGUGUGUGUGUGUGUGUGUGUGUGUGUGUGUGUGUGUGUGUGUCGUCCCCCUACCCCCACAGCCAAGCAUUUGUCUGCCUGCAGUGUGACAUGUUACAGGUGAUUAAAAGAAGCAGGAGGAGGAGCGUCACUUCCUGAGAGACCUGGGCUCUGAGAAGGGUGGAAAUGUGCAGGUGCUCCAAAGCCGUUUGCAGAGCUGCAGCUCAAGGUUCACUCAGCACACCUGAGAGAGUACGGAGAGACGCUCGACCUUGAAGCUGCUGCGCUCCGAGGUGAAGCUGCUGUAGUUUGAGUGAAAAUGGCCCCAUAGGCCCAUAGGGAGUUUCACGAUUAGGAGGUGUGGCCUUGUUGAAGUGGGUGUGGCUUUGUUGGAGGAAGUGUGUCACAGUCUCUUCCUGCUGCCUGUGGAUCUGGAUGAAGAACUCUCAACUGUCCCUUCAGUACCAUGCAGUAGAAACCCUGACUAUGACAGAAGACAAGCUGUGAUUAUAAGAUGUGGGUCUGGAAUGAAGCAGAACCUCACUUUCCAGAAGCGAGUCCUUGGAACACAACCACAACUGACCUCAAUAACCUUGCUUGCAAAGGAACAGUAAGUAUCCCUGACUUGAUGGGGGGCUGUAAGGUGUGAGAGGGCACGACCUGUGGAAGUUAAUGAGUUGACACAUACUCAGAAUUGUGAUCAUCCAGAAAUGCUCAGUGGAUGGGGUUUUAUGUGUGGUGAUACUCACUUGCACAAGUUGAUGGAUAUUCUUGCUUACUACUUCCUGGACUCAGCUAGUUUCUACAGCCACAAUGCCACGCUCCAAAGUCAUGUCUUCUACCUCCCCUGGUUCAGCAGUAACAAAGGCAAUAACUCCAUCCUCAGAAGACUUUCAUUAGAUUUAGUUUCCUGUAUAAUUUAGUAACCCCUUCCUGCAUUAUUAUCUUACUUGAUGUCCUACUUUUUGAUUUUCAUUGGGGAAGCCAAACUCAAACAGAUAUCUCUAUAGAAAACUAAAUUUGAAUGUAAAGAAUGCACAUUAACAGUGCAAGCGAGACGGCUUAGCAGGUAAAGGCAUCUGUCACCAAGCCUGAAGUUCUGGGUUUAAUUCCUGGAACCCACAAGGUGGAAGGAGAGAAGUGGCUCCUGCAAGUUGUCCUCUGACUUACACACACACACACACACUAAAUAAAUAAAAAUGUAAUAAAAGUAAGUCUUCUACAAAGAAUGUACAUUAAUAAAAUCCACAUGUAUUUAUUAAAUGAGUGUAAGGAACAAUAAAACUAACAUGUAUUGAACAGACUGGAGUUCCACUUUAAAGAAAACAGCAACAAAUGCCUUUGACUUGGUAGAAAUCUCAAAGUAGCUCUGCCAGAUAUGCUCUGCACGGAAGGUUCUUCAACCAUGCAUGUUGAAAUCCAGCAGUAAACAUGUCUCAGGAUCCAGAAGUCAGGGCCUAGAGAGAUGGCUCAGCAGGUAAGAGCACUGGCUGCUCUUCCAAGUGACCCAGGUUUUAUUCCCAGACACCAUACAGCAGCUCACAACUACCUGAAACUCUAGUUUCAGGGGAUCCAACACCCUCUUCUGGUCUCUACAGGUACUGGGCACAUGUGGUAACAUACACACAUAGAGACAAAACACACAUGCACAUUUAAAAAAAAUCUUGGAACAACAACAACAACAACAACAGCAACAAAUGACCCAGAAGUUGAAGAAAAAGGCAGGUAGUCCAAACUCCCUGCUUCAGGAUGCAUCCAAAGCUCAUCACUCUGUCCAAAGGCCUCACAGACAUGAUGCACUGGCUUUCACACCUACUUCCCAUGAAUUUUAAGGUUUUUAUGUGGUUCAAUCUAAGGUAGGCCUAUCCAUGGUUCAUUAUUUAUCGAAUAGGCCAUAGAACAAUGUUCCAGGAUCCAGGAGUUAAGGAGAAUCAAAGAGUAGAGACAAUAUUUUCAUAUUAUUUUAUUUAGUCAAAUACUUGCCAGUGAUAUUGCUAAAAGGGUGGGGUAGAGAAUUAUUACAUAAAAAAAUCAAUCCAAAUUGUGUAUUUUUUUUCACAUUUUGCUAUCUCCAAAAUCAGGAUGUACUACAAUUCACAUCAUGGCUUAAUUUUGUAGUGCUUUUAUUUUUCUUCUUUAUGGGACAUAAAGAGAGGUGUUACUGACAGCCAAUGAUGCCUUAGAUUUGAUGAAAUAUUUUAGACUUUUUUUUGUCAUUCAUUGACCCUUUUGUUUUAGGUUACCAUCCUCUGUGUGUGUGUGUGUGUGUGUGUGUGUGUGUGUGUGUGUGUAUGUACUUACACACCUGCUUUGAACAGAUCCAAUAUCCCUAAGAGCUGGGGAACUCUAAAAUACUAGAGUCUUGCGUGUUCACUCAAGGUCCAAGAUGAGACCCCAGGAAGGGCAAAUUUCCCACCGCCCAAAGAAAAGGAAGAACUUAGGUCAACCUUUUUACAUGAGAGUUGGGGGGAUGGACAGACAGACAGGGAGAAAGAGAGGCAGACACACAGAGACAGAGAGAUACAGAAAUA